rnacentral:rRNA from 1 species
UGAACGCUGGCGGCGUGCCUAACACAUGCAAGUCGAACGAAGCACAUACGACAGAACUCGUUCGGAGGGGAAGAUGUAUGUGACUGAGUGGCGGACGGGUGAGUAACCGCGUGGGUAACCUGCCUCAUACAGGGGGAUAGCAGCUGGAAACGGCUGGUAAUACCGCAUAAGCGCACGGUAUCGCAUGAUACAGUGUGAAAAACUCCGGUGGUAUGAGAUGGACCCGCGUCUGAUUAGCUGGUUGGUGAGGUAACGGCCCACCAAGGCGACGAUCAGUAGCCGACCUGAGAGGGUGACCGGCCACAUUGGGACUGAGACACGGCCCAGACUCCUACGGGAGGCAGCAGUGGGGAAUAUUGCACAAUGGGCGAAAGCCUGAUGCAGCAACGCCGCGUGAGGGAAGACGGUUUUCGGAUUGUAAACCUCUGUUUUCGGUGACGAACAAAUGACGGUAACCGAGUAGGAAGCCACGGCUAACUACGUG